GUGUUUCUUGUUUUGGGAACUCGCUUCAGGAGCUGCUGAACUCUGAUUCUCUGGUUAUGCACAGUCAUAGUGACGUCAUGAUGACACAGUCAGACCCACUCAUAUCACAGGCCAGCGCUGCUGUCACCUCGCAAAACUCCCGUCUUCGCAAUGGCCUCAUGCUACGUAAUGAUCCUAUGAUGUCAUCCUUCAGUUCUGUGCUCAAUGGGCGAAGCAGCCACCUCCAGAACAAGCAACUGGGGUCCAAUGUCCAGGGUUCUUUGUGUUCCCUCUCCAACAACAGGGCGCAAAGUCUAGCUAACAAUGCUAAUAAUUUAGUCUCUGCAAAACAGCACCUCCAGCCACAGCCCUCCAUGUUGAUGACCGAGACUUCGCUUUACUCUGGCCUGAAUGGAAGUAACGGAGUGGGGAUCUGCCAUCCCUCAGGAACAGAUCGUUUUCCAUCAGACUUGGACCUGGACAUGUUUAAUGGCAGUCUGGAUUGCGAUGUGGAUUCCAUAAUUCGCUCAGAACUAAUGGACUCUGAUGGAUUGGAUUUUAACUUUGACGCAUUGGUGCAAAGCGCUGUUAGUUUGAAUCCUGUGGGAAACUUCACCGGGACGAAGCAAUCCAAUCAAAGUUGGGUGCCUGGCUGAUGGCAGUCACUUAGGCUCAGAACUGCAGAGAAAACAACAAACAAUAGAAUAACAACUACAAAGAAAUAUCCAGCACAAAAAACAUCCAACAGUCUUGAAGUAUCCUUUGCCAAGUUUGCUGUCUGCGGCAAGCACUGGAUGAUAUGCCUGUUUACAGGUCCAUCUGACUACAACAUCCAGAUGAUGUUGAUGAUGAUGUUUACCUUCAGUUCAGCAGGCCGAGACUAUAACAAAAGACUGCCCAUUGGAGAAACAAACAAACAAACAAACAAACAGCGAACUUGCAGAUCAUUAUGCAACAUUAUAAAAUGUUCAAAAUUAUCCCUUUGUUGCAAGAGGCCUGUUGUAGCUUUUCUAUCAUAAACAGUUUCCUUGUUUGGGGUCUCUCUCUGUUUUCCCUAACAUUUUUGUUAAAUGAUUGGCUAUUUCUGUCAUCCUCUAAGCACUAACUGUGUAGUCAUUGAUUUAUAUAGAGGUGGAGAGUUAACCUGGAAAAUUACAGAGCUCAGGUGGAGCAAUAUAGCUUGACACAGUGCACUUCAACAAUUGCUUUCAUUUUUAAUUCACUGUUACCAUACAGUAGUUAGUUCCCAAUCUGAAAUAUAGUUGCCUCAUAAUAAUACUGAAGUAAUACAUUUUUGUGAUUGAAUAUAACCAUACAAGGAGUAAUUAAUUUGUGUGUACUGUCUGUAACUGUACAAAAAAAUGGUAAAAUCGAAAGCUUAGCAGGUGGAGGCGUCUUAUUUAGCCAGCAAAGUUAUGUUUGGACUUCUUGCAUAUAAAUGUAGCCAAAUGUAAUGAAUAAGUAAAUAUUAACUUGCAUUGUGGACAUUUCCAUGCCAUACCAGGUGCUAAAUGAUCAGUGUUGAGCCCUGUCCUAUUAUUAAGGCCAUAUGUGUUUCCCUGGCCAUGAGGACAUAGUAUAAUUGAUUAGCAUUAGCAUCAUGGCAGCAUUCAAUGAUGGAUAGGCCUUUCCUCUGGAAGCCAUCUUUACUGAGCAAAAACAAUAAGCUAUCUUUUAUAUAUUUGCCAAAUUACUUGAAAAUGUAGGAGAUGCUGGCAGCCAAAAUCACAAAACACACACAGUGAAAUUUGGGGACUUUUCUGUCCCUGUAUGCAAAAUGCAUCACUAUUGCUCAGGGGAGAGUGGGGUCUCCAUUACAACAUCAGGGCCUCAUCUUGAAUUAAUCGCAACCUGGCUGUACACAAUUUCAUAAAUGUUUUAUGGACAUUUGAACAUGAACAACAGUCUUCUGAAUUAAGAAGAUGAAGCAACAGGAGUCCAUUCUGUGUUAUUGUCAGUUUCUUGAUGUCUUUAUGGGGGGGUUUGUCACUUUAUGAAACUUUUUUGUUUGUUUGUUCAGUUGUGCUCAACUAUUAUCACAAAUCAUGUACAAAUCCUAAUGUUCUGUGUUUCUGUCCAUUGGAGAGGGUUACUCUUCAGUGCAUAUGUCCAUGUAUGCAUGCGUGUAAAUGUACAUAUGCAUCGUGUGCAAUGCAUAUAUAUGUAUACAUCCUGCUAUACUUAUGAAAUGUUUGACACACCUGCUUUACUCCAAGAUUGCACACCCUAAAGCUUUUGUCAAACUUAAACUCAAAUAGUAACUAAUGAUAUCCAGUACGAAAUGAAUUGGUAAAUUGCCCAUACAAGACAUCUGAACCUUGUAAAUUUUUUCAGAGACAAUAUUUUUACCAUCUCAAAAACUGCCUUGCAUGUAUUCUUACACCUCUUUCAUUAGAAAAAGAAAUAAACACCUUAAAAUUCUUGUUUUUCCAGAUGACUGACACAGGUACCUGUCUUGCCAUUAACAACCAGUUGAGCAUCCUCAAACAAUACAGGUUUUAUUUACUACACCCGUCAUGAUAAUCAGCAAAUACCACUAUUUCCACAUUUUACCACCUUGUUCGUAGCCUUCCUCCCUCACCUCCUUCUGCUUAUUACCGUUGCUCUAUUACUUCUUAUCUUAUAGUCAUAUGGCUUCUCUACUAGAUGUUUGUGAGUAUUUUUCCUGUGUACUCCAUUUUGAAUUGUAAUCUAGUUUGUAUAAGAAAUGGUGCGCAUGUAAAUAAAGCUUGUUUGAGCUAUAU